AUUGAACGCUGGCGGCAUGCCUUACACAUGCAAGUCGAACGGCAGCACGGGAGCAAUCCUGGUGGCGAGUGGCGAACGGGUGGGUAAAGUAUCGGAACGUGCCCAGUCGUGGGGGAUAACGUAGCGAAAGUUACGCUAAUACCGCAUACGAUCUAUGGAUGAAAGCGGGGGAUCGCAAGACCUCGCCCGAUUGGAGCGGCCGAUGUCAGAUUAGGUAGUUGGUGGGGUAAAGGCUCACCAAGCCGACGAUCUGUAGCUGGUCUGAUAGGACGACCAGGCACACUGGGCCUGAGAAGCGGCCCAGACUCCUCGGGGAGGCAGUAGUGGGGAAUUUUGGACAAUGGGCGGAAGCCUGAUCCAGCCAUGCCGCGUGCAGGAUGAAGGCCUUCGGGUUGUAGACUGCUUUUGUACGGAACGAAAAGGUUUGGGCUAAUAAGCUGAGCUCAUGACGGUACCGUAAGAAUAAGCACCGGCUAACUACGUGCCAGCCGCCGCAGUAA
rnacentral:rRNA from 1 species